UGGAGAGUCAAUCUCCUCCCCAAGCACUUUCUUAAAAGUCUCUCUCAUCUUUGUGCUACAGUCAGGCCUCUGGCUUAUGCUUUUUUCCUCCACAGCCCAGAUCACAAUAUAAAACGAUCUCAGGUAAUGUGUGUCGGCUUGUUGGUUAUCUGCUUUCUCAAAGGAAGAUAAACCCUAUGUCAUUCCCUGUGGAAUCUCCAAAGAAGAGAUCCCUUUUGGACGUUAAGCAGGUGCUCCGAAAACUUUUAUGGGAGGAUCGAAGGAACGAAGGAGGGGCUGAGAAGGGACUCUCCAGGGCUCUGGAACCAGUGACCACGAGGAGAUAAAAGCAAGCGGAAUCAAGGUUGAUGUCAGCGUCGCUUUGUGAGGUGAACAGGUUUCCUCUCUACUGAAUCACAGAGGUUUCCUGUUGAAAAUCCAUCACAUAUACGCUUCAAGGAUCAACACUCUCCCCUGUCCACAUCAGUCCAGAUUCUCAUGCGGUGGAGACUGGCUGUUUGAGAAACCAUAACUAAAUCUCUUGGUUUGUUUGUCUUCGCAAUGCUUCAAUUAAACCACCUUAAUGAGGCCCCAGUAGUCAAUACCAGCCUGAUGUUUUAAAAGCCUCUCCGCGUCUUUGUGCCACAGCCAGGCCUCUGGCUUCUCUCUCUCUCUCAAUUAUUACCUUAACCGUGCCCCGGAGACCUCGGGAGCCAGUUUAUUUUGACUGGGAGACUGUUAAACGGCAGGAGGCAAACCUGAGACACUGCCAGGCUGUGAUUGCCACUGCUCCACAUGGCCCGGGGCGCUGAGAAUAGCCGGGCCGCUUCCUGCUGCAGGAGGAAAUGGCGGUUUCCUCAGCUCCCGGAAACAUUACUUCCUCUCCGGUGCCUAGCUCCGUGUCAACCAAUUAGACCGCCUCUUCCCACCUCGAGCCCCCAGAGACCUGGCUCAGCCUGGAGAAGACAUCCUGUUUCCCCUGCGGAAGUGGCCAGCUUGAAGGAACCUCCAGGGUACUGGAGUGAGGCUUCCCUGAACCUCCAAACCAUAAACUAGAGGAAGGGAAAAAGCCGCCCCAGAAUGCGCCUACCACUGAUGCACGUGAGCAUGGGGGAGAACCAGCCUUCAGGGGAUGUUUCAAAACUUUGUUAAAUUACCAUUUUUUGUCAAUAAUAAAAAA